UACGGGGGGGGCAAGCGUUGUUCGGAAUUACUGGGCGUAAAGGGCUCGUAGGUGGCCAACUAAGUCAGACGUGAAAUCCCUCGGCUUAACCGGGGAACUGCGUCUGGUACUGGAUGGCUUGAGUUUGGGAGAGGGAUGCGGAAUUCCAGGUGUAGCGGUGAAAUGCGUAGAUAUCGGGAGGAACACCAGUGGCGAAAGCGACUUUCUGGUCCUUAACUGACGCUGAGGCGCGAAAGCAUGGGGAGCGAACGGG
rnacentral:rRNA from 1 species